rnacentral:rRNA from 1 species
AUUGAACGCUGGCGGCAGGCCUAACACAUGCAAGUCGAACGAGUGGCGGACGGGUGAGUAAUGUCUGGGAAACUGCCUGAUGGAGGGGGAUAACUACUGGAAACGGUAGCUAAUACCGCAUACCAUCAGAUGUGCCCAGAUGGGAUUAGCUUGUGGGUGGGGUAACGGCUCACCAAGGCGACGAUCCCUAGCUUGUCUGAGAGGAUGACCAGCCACCCUGGAACUGUGACACUGUCCAGACGCCUACGGGAGGCAGGAGUGGGGAAUAUUGCACAAUUGGCGGAAGCCUGAAGCGGCCAUGCCGCGUGUAUGAAGAAGGCCUUCGGGUUGUAAAGUACUUUAAGCGGGGAGGCGUUACCCGCAGAAGAAGCACCGGCUAACUCCGUGCCAGCCGCCGCGGUAAUUC